AUGGAAUCCAUCAUCAUUUAUUUUGGACUAAUACAAACAUGUCAAAGCAGUAUUGCCAAUGAAUACCCAUUUGUGUUUUCCUCCCUAUUGCCCUUCAUUCCCUGCUUCCCUCUUCCCCCCCCUUCCCUUUUUCCCUUCCCUCCCUCCUUGCCUCCCUGCCUUCCUCCAAUCCUCCUCUUCCUAUGUUCCUCCUCUUCCUCCCUCCUCUGCCUUCCUCCCUUCCAUCCUAUCUUCCUCCCUUCCUACCCCUCUUAUGUCCCUCCUCUUCCUCCCUCCUCUGCCUUUCUCCCUUCUGUCCCCUCAUCCUCUUCCAUCCCCUCUCCUUCCCUUCUCUGCCUCCCUCUUCCUCCCCUUCCUCCCUCCGCUCCUUUCCAUCCUUCCUCUUCCUCCCUCUCUUCCGCCGCUCCUCUUCCUCCCUCCUUUGCCUUCCACCCUUCCUCCCCUCUUCCUCCCCUCUUCCUCCCCUCUUCCUCCCCUCUUCCCUCCUCUUCCUCCCUCCUCUGCCCCCCUCUUCCUUCCGUCCCUCCUCUUCCUCCCUCCUGUGCCUUCCUCCCUUCCGUCUCCUCUUCCUCCCUUCCUCUGCCUUCCUCCCUUCUGUCCCCUCUUCCUCCCUCUCUUCCGCCCCUCCCCUUCCUCCCUCCACUCCCUUCCUUUCCUCCUCUGCCUCCAUCCCUUCCAUCCCCUUUCUCCCUCCAGUCCCCUCUUACGUCCCAUCUCUUCCUCGCUCCCUUCCCUCCUCUUCCUCCAUCUCUUCCUCCUCUUCCUCCCUCCUCUGCCUCCCACCCUUCCAUCCCCUCUUCCUUCUCUCCUCUUCCUCGCUUCUGUCCCCACUUCCUCCCUCCUCUUCCUCCCUCUCCUCCAUCCCCUCUUCCCUCAUGUCCCUCUUCUUCCUCCCUCCUCUGCCUAUGUCCGUCCUCUGCCUCCCUCUCUUCCUCUCUUCUGCCCCUUGUCUUCCUUCCUUCCAUCCCCUCUUACGUCCCUCCUCUUCCUCCCUCUUUCCAUCCCCUUUCUCCCUCCCGUCCCCUCUUUCAUCCCUCCUUUCUCCCUCUCUUCUAUCCCUCCUCUUCCUCCCUCCCUUCCUUCCCUCCUCUGCCUUCCUCCCCUCCGUCCCCUUCUUCCCUUCUCUGCCUCCCUCUCUUCCUCCCUCCACUCUCUUCCUUCCCUCCUCUUCCUCCAUCCUCCUCCUUCCUCCCUUCUGUCCCCUCAUCCUCUCUUCUGUCCGCUCUUCUUCCCUUGCCUUCCCCUCUUCCUCCCUCCUCUGCCUCCCACCCUUCCGUCCCCUUUCUCCCUACCAUUCCCUCUUACGUCUCUCCUCUUCCUCCCUCCUGCCUUUCUCCCUUCUGUCCCCUCUUCCUCCUUCCAUCCCCUCUUCUGCCCUUCUUUCCUCCUUCUGUUCCCCUUCUUUGCCUCCCUCCUGCCUCCUUCUCUCCCCCCCUCCUUUACUUCUUUCUUCCCUCUUCUCCAUCCAGUCUUCCUUCUGUCCCUACCCUCCCCUUCCUUCCUUCCUCCCUCCCCUCUCCCUCUCCUCCCUCAUUCCCUUCCCUCCAUAGCUUCUUCCCUCCCUUCCUUCCCAUCUUCCAUCCCCGCCUCCCUCUCUUUCCUCUUCCCUCUCCAUCCCCUCUUCCUUCCGUCUCUCCCUGCCUCCCUCCCCUGUCUCCUCCAUCCCAUCCUUCCCUCCCUCUGCUCCAUCCCUUCUUCCUUCCUCCCCUUCCUCNCCUCUUCUGCCUCCCUCUUUCGUCCCUUCUCUUCCUCCCUUCUCUGCCUUCCUCCCUUCCAUACCCUCUUCCUCUCUAUGUCCCGCCUCUGUCUCUUUUGUCCCUCCUCCUCCUCCCUCAUCUGCCUCCCUCUUUCAUACCAUCUUCCCCCUUCCGUCCCCUCUUCCUCCCUUCUGUCCCAUCUUCUUCCCUCUCUUUUGUCCCUCCUCUUCCUCCAUCCUCUGCCUUCCUCCCUUCUGUCCUCUCAUCCUCUCUUCCAUCCCCUCUUCUUCCCUUCUCUGCCUCCCUCUCUUCCUCCCUCCACUUCCUCCCCUUCCUCCACUCCGUUCCAUCCUUCUUCCUCCCUCUCUUCUGCCGCUCCUCUUCCUCCCUCCUUUGCCUCUCACCCUUCCAUCCCCUCUUCCUCCUUCCGUCCCAUCUUCCUUUUUCCCUCUUCGUCCUCCCUCCUCUGCCCCCCUCUUCCUUCCAUCCCUCCUGUUCCUCCCUCCUGUGCCUUCCUCCCUUCCGUCUCCUCUUCCUUCCUUCCUCUUCCUCCCUUUCUCCCCUCCUCUGCCUUCCUCCCUUCUGUCCCCUCUUCCUCCCUCUCUUCUGCCCCUCCCCUUCCUCCCUCUACUCCCUUCCUUUCCUCCUCUGCCUCCAUCCCUUCUCCCUCCAGUCCCCUCUUACGUCCCAUCUCUUCCUCCCUCCCUUCCCUCCUCUUCCUCCAUCUCUUCAUCCCUCCUCUGCCUUCCUCCCCUCCGUCCCCUUCUUCCUUCUCUUUUUCCUCCCUUCCGUCCCCUUUCUCCCUCCUCUGCCUCCCUCUUCCUUCCGUCCCUCCUCUUCCUCCCUCCUCUGCCUUCCUCCCUUCUGUCCCCUCUUCCUCCUAACGUCCCCUGUUCCUCCCUGCUCUUCCUCCCUCCCUACCGUCCCUUCUUCCUCCUCCCUUCCAUCCCUGCUCUUCAUCCCUCCCUCCCCUCCUCUUCCUCCCUUCCAUCCCCUCUUGCUCCCUCCUCUUCCUUCCUCUGCCUUCUUCCCUUCUGUCCCCUCUUCCUCCCUCCUCUGCCUCCCUCUUCCAUCCCCUCUUCCCGCUUCCGUCCCCUCUUCCUCCCUCCUCUGCCCCCUUCUUCCUUCCAUCCCUCCUCUUCCUCUGCUUUCCUCCCUUCCAUCCUCUCUUCCUCCCUCUUAUGUCCCUCCUCUUCCUCCCGUCCCCUCUUCCUUCCCUCCUCUGCCUCCCUCUCUUCCGCCCCUCCCCUUCCUCCCUCCACUCCCUUCCUUUCCUCCUCUGCCUCCAUCCCUUCCAUCCCCUUUCUCCCUACCAUCCCCUUACAUCCCACCUCUUCCUCCCUCCUCUCCUCUUCCUCCAUCUCUUCCUCCUUCCUCUGCCUUCCUCCCCUCUGUCCCCUCUUCCUCCUAA
ensembl:lncRNA